rnacentral:rRNA from 1 species
GACGAACGCUGGCGGCGUGCCUAAUACAUGCAAGUCGAGCGGACAGAAGGGAGCUUGCUCCCGGAAGUUAGCGGCGGACGGGCGAGUAACACGUGGGCAACCUACCCUGUAGAUCGGGAUAACAUCGAGAAAUCGGUGCUAAUACCGGAUAAUCAUUUGAAGUGCAUGCUUCGAAUGUAAAAGAUGGCUCCGGCUAUCACUACGGGAUGGGCCCGCGGCGCAGUAGCUAGUUGGUAAGGUAAUGGCUUACCAAGGCAACGAUGCGUAGCCGACCUGAGAGGGUGAUCGGCCACACUGGGACUGAGACACGGCCCAGACUCCUACGGGAGGCAGCAGUAGGGAAUCUUCCGCAAUGGACGAAAGUCUGACGGAGCAACGCCGCGUGAGUGAUGAAGGUUUUCGGAUCGUAAAGCUCUGUUGUUAGGGAAGAACAAGUGCCGUUUGAAUAAGGCGGCACCUUGACGGUACCUAACCAGAAAGCCACGGCUAACUACGUGCCAGCCGCCGCAGUAAAAC